UGAAGAAGGCCUUCGGGUUGUAAAGUACUUUCAGCGAGGAGGAAAGGUUAGUAGUUUAUAACUGCUAGCUGUGACGUUACUCGCAGAAGAAGGACCGGCUAACUCCGUGCCAGCAGCCGCGGUAAUACGGAGGGUCCGAGCGUUAAUCGGAAUUACUGGGCGUAAAGCGUACGCAGGCGGUUUGUUAAGCGAGAUGUGAAAGCCCCGGGCUCAACCUGGGAACUGCAUUUCGAACUGACAAACUAGAGUUUUGUAGAGGGUGGUAGAAUUUCAGGUGUAGCGGUGAAAUGCGUAGAGAUCUGAAGGAAUACCAGUGGCGAAGGCGGCCACCUGGACAAUAACUGACGCUCAUGUACGAAAGCGUGGGGAGCAAACGGGAUUAGAUACCCCGGUAGUCCACGCCGUAAACGAUGUCAACUAGCCGACUGGUGCCUUGAGCACUGGGUGGCGCAGCUAACGCAUUAAGUUGACCGCCUGGGGAGUACGGCCGCAAGGUUAAAACUCAAAUGAAUUGACGGGGGCCCGCACAAGCGGUGGAGCAUGUGGUUUAAUUCGAUGCAACGCGAAGAACCUUACCUACUCUUGACAUCCACAGAACUUUUCAGAGAUGAAUUGGUGCCUUCGGGAACUGUGAGACAGGUGCUGCAUGGCUGUCGUCAGCUCGUGUUGUGAAAUGUUGGGUUAAGUCCCGCAACGAGCGCAACCCCUAUCCUUAGUUGCCAGCACGUAAUGGUGGGAACUCUAGGGAGACUGCCGGUGAUAAACCGGAGGAAGGUGGGGACGACGUCAAGUCAUCAUGGCCCUUACGAGUAGGGCUACACACGUGCUACAAUGGCGCAUACAAAGGGUUGCGAAGCCGCGAGGUGGAGCCAAUCCCAAAAAGUGCGUCGUAGUCCGGAUUGGAGUCUGCAACUCGACUCCAUGAAGUCGGAAUCGCUAGUAAUCGUAGAUCAGAA
rnacentral:rRNA from 1 species